GCUCUCGACGACGAAGAAUUGGUGAUGUACAUCUGCAACGGCCUUGACCCUGAGUACAAUCCUCUAGUUUCUGCUCUUGUAACUAGAAUAGAACCUGUUACUCCUGCCGAAUUGUAUUCCCAGUUGUUAAGCUUUGAAA